CCUACGGGUGGCUGCAGUUGGGAAUAUUGGACAAUGGGGGAAACCCUGAUCCAGCGACGCCGCGUGAAUGAUGAAGGCCUUCGGGUCGUAAAGUUCUUUUAGUGGGGAAGAAGGGAAACUUGACUGUACCCACAGAAAAAGCACCGGCUAACUCUGUGCCAGCAGCCGCGGUAAUACAGAGGGUGCAAGCGUUGUUCGGAAUUAUUGGGCGUAAAGCGCGUGUAGGCGGCCAUCUAAGUCUGGUGUGAAAUCCCUCGGCUCAACUGAGGAAGUGCAUUGGAUACUGGAUGGCUAGAGGAUGAGAGAGGAGAGUGGAAUUCCCGGUGUAGGGGUGAAAUCCGUAGAUAUCGGGAGGAACACCAGAGGCGAAGGCGGCUCUCUGGCUCAUUUCUGACGCUGAGACGCGAAAGCGUGGGGAGCAAACAGGAUUAGAUACCCCAGUAGUC
rnacentral:rRNA from 1 species